GUUCAAUCCCCAGUAUCAAAACGAACAAACAAAUCAGAAUGAUAACAAAGAAAAUUAUCAUGACCCCUGCAUAAGGAUGGAAUUCACGAAACAUUCCAUAUUUUU